rnacentral:rRNA from 1 species
UGGGGGAUAUUGCACAAUGGGCGAAAGCCUGAUGCAGCGACGCCGCGUGGGGGAUGAAGGCUUUCGGGUUGUAAACCUCUUUCGCUAUCGAACAAGGCCCGCUUAGGGUGGGUUGAGGGUAGGUGGAGAAGAAGCGCCGGCUAACUACGUGCCAGCAGCCGCGGUAAUACGUAGGGCGCGAGCGUUGUCCGGAAUUAUUGGGCGUAAAGGGCUUGUAGGCGGCUUGUUGCGCCUGCUGUGAAAACGCGGGGCUUAACUUCGCGCGUGCAGUGGGUACGGGCAGGCUUGAGUGUGGUAGGGGAGAAUGGAAUUCCCGGUGGAGCGGUGGAAUGCGCAGAUAUCGGGAGGAACACCGGUGGCGAAGGCGGUUCUCUGGGCCUUUCCUGACGCUGAGAAGCGAAAGCGUGGGGAGCGAACAGG